UUGAUUAAACCAUAAGAGGUCCAGCCUGCCCAGUGACAUUGUUCAACGGCCGCGGUAUCCUAACCGUGCGAAGGUAGCGUAAUCACUUGUCCUUUAAAUGAAGACUAGUAUGAAUGGCCCCACGAAAGCUAUACUGUCUCCUUUUUCUAAUCAGUUAAACUAAUCUCCCCGUGAAGAAGCGGGGAUAAACAUAUAAGACGAGAAGACCCUAUGGAGCUUUAAACAACUGAAACACUUGUAUAUCUCCCUUCACCUACCCACAUUUAACUCCACAUCUUGUUUCUAGUUUUAGGUUGGGGUGACCACGGAGAAAAAACUAACCUCCACGAUGAAAGAGACAUCUCUAAACAAAAAGCUACAUCUUUAUGUAUUAAUACAUUAACCUUUAUUGACCCA
rnacentral:rRNA from 1 species